rnacentral:rRNA from 1 species
UGGGCAACCUGCCCCUAGCACUGGGAUAACCACGGGAAACCGAGGCUAAUACCGGAUAUGACCUCGGUGGGCAUCUUCUGAGGUGGAAAUGUUCCGGCGGCUAGGGAUGGGCCCGCGGCCUAUCAGCUUGUUGGUGGGGUGAUGGCCUACCAAGGCGACGACGGGUAGCCGGCCUGAGAGGGCGACCGGCCACACUGGGACUGAGACACGGCCCAGACUCCUACGGGAGGCA